GAAAGGGUGGCACCUCGUGAUGGGAGUGGUCUGUCCAGGGGCCCCUUUUCCAGAGAACCAUGGCCUCCUACUCUUGAGUGCUUUCCUGGCCACGAAUGAUGCAGGUCCGGAUGCCAGCAUCCUGACCGACUGCACACGCUGCAGUGAAAUUCAGUGUCACCGGGAAAGCCUCCUGUGGAAGCUGGGCCGUCUGCACAGGGCUUCCCUGGCCCAGGGCAAGGACAGCCGCAGACUGCGUAACUCCAGCUGCUAAGGCAGACUCCAGAAGCUCAGCUGCCCUCCGCGCCGAGGCCGCAGUGCUGUGCAGAAGUGCACCUGGCUGCACACACUGAAGAGCAACCGGCACCGAAACACAGCGUGCUGAGGGCUGACCUCCACUCAGGAGCGAAGAGAGCGAACAAACCCCCAUGUCAGUUGGCAGAGCCUGGGCCACCUACACGUUCCGAACCUCUCGGGGCCUCAGUGUCUCUCGGUGUAUAUUUGGAAUUAAAGAUGGGCGAGACCAAAAUAUGAAACAAGGGAGCCCACCCUAGAGAAACAACCACCACUGCAGACCCCAGCGGGCUACUGUGACGUACACCGGCUUCUCUUCCUAGCGAGCCAGAAUCAUUCUGAGAGACCAGCGAUGAAGCCCACCCGGCAUACACCGCUCUGAACCCGGGAAGCGGGCAGGCUCGUCCUGCAAGUACUUAGUCCCAACGCUCACGUAUUUUACCCAGCCAACUGCUCAUUUUGCUGCGUGAACUUGCCUGUCCAACCGGAGAGUGCGCUUCUCUGUCCUCAGCAGGAGAUGGCGACAGAGCUCCACCCCAGUCCCUGAAGACUGGCUAAAAAGCAGGAACGGGGAAAAAGCGAAAAGGAAGGGAAAGGAGGAGUGGAGGGAUCAGAAAUGACUUCUGUCAACAAACUCUUAGGAAGGGAGAAAUAAAACCACUGGUUUCAGUCUUUAGAACUGAGCUCUCAUUCUAGCCCAUUGAGAAGCACAAGAGGACAAAAUGCAGAAAAACCCCUGACAUCCAAAUUUGCAACAAAUAAGUGGGAGAUACAGAAUCUAUUCCUAAUCUUAAGCCCAGAUAAAACACCACUGACUUGUUAGCCGUC